rnacentral:misc_RNA from 1 species
GACCUCUGUGGUCUGAGGCUCAGGUGGCUUCAUCUGGUCCUCUUAUUUUUCUUCGAAAGAUCUUGACUUCUAUAAAAGGGUUACUUCAUCAAAUAAAAAAUAUCCAUAAUUAUAUGUUAUAUAUUGUAUUUUCUCAAGGUUUUAGGAACAGAUAGGGAGGGUUUUAGUAGGGAGGGUUUUAGUCUAGAUUUUUUUACAGAUUUCAGAGAGAAAAACUGGAUACAGAGAAGAUUAUAGAGAGAGAAGAAGUGGGGUUCUUUAUAUUUUUUUUAUUUGAUGUAGAGGAAAGGGUAUUGGAGAGGCUUUGCAGAGAGUUAGGAACCUUGUGUAGAAAAACAGGAUCUUGUUCUUUCCAUUCUUGUCGUUUUUGCUUUUUUUUAAAAAAUUUUUGAAAUUGUAGAAGGAGGCAAAGAAGAUGAAGAUUCAAUGCAACGUUUGUGAGGUGGCGGAGGCGAACGUGCUUUGCUGCGCCGACGAGGCUGCGUUGUGUUGGGCUUGCGAUGAGAAAGUUCAUGCGGCCAACAAGCUAGCAAGCAAGCACCAGAGAGUUCCUCUCUCUGGCUCUUCCCCUCAGAUGCCUAAAUGCGACAUUUGUCAGGAGACGGCUGGCUUUUUCUUUUGUCUAGAA